AUUGAACGCUGGCGGCAGGCCUAACACAUGCAAGUCGAACGAGUGGCGGACGGGUGAGUAAUGUCUGGGAAACUGCCUGAUGGAGGGGGAUAACUACUGGAAACGGUAGCUAAUACCGCAUACCAUCAGAUGUGCCCAGAUGGGAUUAGCUAGUUGGUGGGGUAACGGCUCACCAAGGCGACGAUCCCUAGCUGGUCUGAGAGGAUGACCAUCCACACGGGAGCUGAGACACGGUCCAGACGCCUACGGGAGUCAUCAGUGGGGAAUAUUGCACAAUGGGCGCCAGCGUGAUGCAGCCAUGCCGCGUGUUUGAAGACGGCCUUCGGGUUGUAAAGUACUUUCAGCGGGGAGGCGUUACCCGCAGAAGAAGCACCGGCUAACUCCGUGCCAGCCGCCGCGGUAAUAC
rnacentral:rRNA from 1 species